GUGAACGCUGGCGGUAGGCCUAACACAUGCCAGUCGAACGGCAGCACAGUAAGAGCUUGCUCUUACGGGUGGCGAGUGGCGGACGGGUGAGGAAUACAUCGGAAUCUACUUUUUCGUGGGGGAUAACGUAGGGAAACUUACGCUAAUACCGCAUACGACCUACGGGUGAAAGCAGGGGAUCUUCGGACCUUGCGCGAUUGAAUGAGCCGAUGUCGGAUUAGCUAGUUGGCGGGGUAAAGGCCCACCAAGGCGACGAUCCGUAGCCGGUCUGAGAGGAUGAUCAGCCACACUGGAACUGAGACACGGUCCAGACUCCUACGGGAGGCAGCAGUGGGGAAUAUUGGACAAUGGGCGCAAGCCUGAUCCAGCCAUACCGCGUGGGUGAAGAAGGCCUUCGGGUUGUAAAGCCCUUUUGUUGGGAAAGAAAAGCAGCAGGUUAAUACCCCGCUGUUCUGACGGUACCCAAAGAAUAAGCACCGGCUAACUUCGUG
rnacentral:rRNA from 1 species